AGGAGCCAAGUGAGGGCAAGAAUUGUUGCAGAAUAUUUCAGCUGAAUGAUCACACGAACUGUGGACAACAACAACGGCAAAACUCACCACCCCCUUCCCCUUCCCACUCCCCCUCACCUUCACACUCCCCCUCCCCUUCUCACUCCCCCUCCCCUUCUCACUCCCCCUCCCCUUCUCAC